GUGUUGCAUUUCCUCCCUUCCAUACACGCAAGGCGGCGAGAGUCUGAAGUGUUGUCCUUUUCGCUCAUCUGCGACAAUGGUGAAAGUAGCAGCGAGGAAGCCAAAAGUGGCCAAGAAGCCAGACAACGUCAACAAGAAGAAGAUCGUAAAGACAAAGAAGAAGAAAAAUAUUGCAGAAAGAUCGAUCAUCCCAAAAACAUCAGCUAUUCAAGCUGCCGAUGACUCUUCGGAUUCUGACGGAGAGGACUACUCACCCGAACAGAUCCAGAAGCUCAUCGAACCAUACACUAAGGAUCAGUUAAUCGAAUUCAUCAUCAACGCUGCGAUAGCAAACCCUUCGCUCUACACACGCAUUCGUGACGCUGCCGACAGUGAUGUCUCUCAUCGGAAGAUCUUCGUCUACGGCCUUGGCUGGGACACCACCAAGGAAACCCUAACUCUUGCCUUCAAACCAUACGGCGAAAUCGAGGAUUGCAACGUCAUCAUCGACCGCGUCACCGGGAAAGCCAAGGGUUUCGGGUUCGUUCAAUUUAGGUCACGGAAAGGGGCAAUGAAGGCUCUUGAAGAACCAAAAAAGAAGAUUAAUAACCGAAUGGCGUCGUGUCAGCUGGCGUCUUUGGGGCCUGCUGUCGCUGGCUCCAUGGACAACUCCAAUAGGAAGAUAUAUGUUAGUAACGUUCAACCCCAUGCCGAUCCAGAACGACUGCGGGCGUUCUUUUCCAAGUUUGGGGAAAUAGAGACUGGUCCAUUAGGGUUUGACACGUCAACAGGAAAGUCACGUGGCUUUGCUUUGUUUGUGUAUAAGAAUCAAGAAGGGUUUAGAAAGGCUUUAGAAGAGCCUUACAAGGUAUUCGAAGGACAUCAAUUGCAUUGCCAGAAGGCAGCUGACGGGAAAAACAAAGGGACUGCAACGUCAGCGCCGGUGACAGUUACUACACCUGUUGUACAACAACCUACUCCGCAAAUGCUUGCUGCGGUUGCUGCGACUCAGAAUUUUGGAUUGUUCAGUCAGUCUCACCUGGGAUUGAACCCUAUGUAUGGAGGGUUGUUUUCAAACCCAAACGCAGGGUUUCUUGCAGCAAAUCCUCUUUAUGCUUCAGGGGUUUUGGGGCAAAUGGGUGCUGUUGGUGGUGCACCAGCCGGGUUAGGUAGUUACUACGCUGGUGCAUCCCACGGGCUGAGCAUGGGUGUUGAUAAUGGGUCAUUGCUAGGGGAAUAUGGCGGGGCUACUCUCCCAGUGAUACAGGGUUUGGGCCUACAAAGUAGCUACCCGAAGAAAAAGGUGGGGGCUGCUUCAGCUUCAGCCUCUGGUUCCAGGUCUCAAGGUGCUGGUGGCUCUUUCAGUGGUUAUCCAUCUCAUUUGUGAGAAGUGGUUGAAGGUUUCAGUUCGAAGUUGGUUUAAUGAUGACUCUGGCAAAACCUCUGGGGCCAACUAGUUCAAUUGAGAUGAAGUGCAGCUGCCAUUGAGAUUAAUUUUCCCUCAGUAUUGAAGGAUCUGUUUUAAAAGGCUCUUUUACUGUUGGUUGCUAUACAUUGGAAGCUCUCCAUGUACAAAGAUCUUUUGUAUUUCAGCUGUCUUUCCUGAGUCAAAUUCUUCUCCUUUUCGCCAAUUUCCUUUAAUUUUUAGUAUACUUUCAUAGUUUCCUUGUAUGGAUUUGAUGACUUUUUAUCGUUCAUUAUAUUUUAGUUUUCUUCCUAAUUUUUCUGGGAAUAUUUUCAUUGAUUUUUACCUUAUUUUCCUAUUACCUUCACUAUAGCAGGUUAUGUUAUCUCCUUUCUACUAUUGUGUAGGAUGCUUUCGGUUUGUAGGUUGAUUUGAUUUGC